AACAGGAUUAGAUACCCUGGUAGUCCACGCCCUAAACGAUGUCUACUAGUUGUCGGGUUUUAAUUAACUUGGUAACGCAGCUAACGCGUGAAGUAGACCGCCUGGGGAGUACGGUCGCAAGAUUAAAACUCAAAGGAAUUGACAGGGACCCGCACAAGCGGUGGAUGAUGUGGAUUAAUUCGAUGCAACGCGAAAAACCUUACCUACCCUUGACAUGUACGGAAUUCCGAAGAGAUUUGGAAGUGCUCGAAAGAGAGCCGUAACACAGGUGCUGCAUGGCUGUCGUCAGCUCGUGUCGUGAGAUGUUGGGUUAAGUCCCGCAACGAGCGCAACCCUUGUCAUUAGUUGCUACGAAAGAGCACUCUAAUGAGACUGCCGGUGACAAACCGGAGGAAGGUGGGGAUGACGUCAAGUCCUCAUGGCCCUUAUGGGUAGGGCUUCACACGUCAUACAAUGGUACAUACAGAGGGCCGCCAACCCGCGAGGGGGAGCUAAUCCCAGAAAGUGUAUCGUAGUCCGGAUUGUAGUCUGCAACUCGACUACAUGAAGUUGGAAUCGCUAGUAAUCGCGGAUCAGCAUGUCGCGGUGAAUACGUUCCCGGGUCUUGUACACACCGCCCGUCACACCAUGGGAGCGGGUUUUACCAGAAGUAGGUAGCUUAACCGCAAGGGGGGCGCUUACCACGGUAGGAUUCGUGACUGGGGUGAAGUCGUAACAAGGUAACC
rnacentral:rRNA from 1 species